rnacentral:rRNA from 1 species
UACGGGGGGGGGCAAGCGUUGUUCGGAAUUACUGGGCGUAAAGGGCUCGUAGGCGGCCAACUAAGUCAGACGUGAAAUCCCUCGGCUUAACCGGGGAACUGCGUCUGAUACUGGUUGGCUUGAAUCCGGGAGAGGGAUGUGGAAUUCCAGGUGUAGCGGUGAAAUGCGUAGAUAUCAGGAAGAACACCCGUGGCGAAGGCGGCAUUCUGGACCGAUAUUGACGCUGGGGGAGCGAAAAGCCAGGGGGAGCAAACGGGG